GAUGCAAUCUCAGACCAAAAUCCGGCCGGAUCCUCCAUCGACUUACCAUACAUCUCCUCAUACUUUUGUAAAGAAGAAACAUGAGCCUGUUUGGAGAAUUCGUGACUGGGGAUCACAAAAUUAACUUCCUCAGAUGCAAGACCUUCACCAAGAACAAUAUUAUUAUUAUUUGAACAAUUGAUUUCUUUCAUCUUAACCACACUAUAGCUGCUGCUGCUUCUAAUUCCGAUCUGAAUUUUGAUUGGUUCACUGUUCAAAUACAAUGGCGUUG
rnacentral:misc_RNA from 1 species